rnacentral:rRNA from 1 species
GGGAGGUAGUGACAAUAAAUAACAAUACAGGGUUCUUUAGGAUCUUGUAAUUGGAAUGAGUACAAUUUAAAUCUCUUAACGAGGAACAAUUGGAGGGCAAGUCUGGUGCCAGCAGCCGCGGUAAUUCCAGCUCCAAUAGCGUAUAUUAAAGUUGUUGCAGUUAAAAAGCUCGUAGUUGAACUUCGGGAUCAAUGGAUCGGUCAUGCCGUUGGUAUGUACUGGUCACAUUGGUUCUCACCUUCUAAGGAACCAUGAUGUCAUUCAUUUGAUGUUGUGGGGAAUUAGGACUGUUACCUUGAAAAAUUAGAGUGUUUAAAGCAGGCUAACGCUUGAAUACAUUAGCAUGGAAUAAUGAAAUAGGACAUCGCAUUCUAUUUUGUUGGUUUCUAGGAUCGAUGUAAUGAUUAAUAGGGAUAGUUGGG